GAUGAAGAACGUAGUGAAAUGCGAUAAGCAAUGUGAAUUGCAGAAUUCAGUGAAUCAUCGAAUCUUUGAACGCACAUUGCGCCCCUUGGUAUUCCGAGGGGCAUGCCUGUUCGAGCGUCAUUAUAACCCCUCAAGCUCAGCUUGGUGUUGGGGCCUGCUGCACUGGCAGCCCUUAAAAUCAGUGGCGGCGCCAUCUGGCUCUAAGCGUAGUAAUUCUUCUCGCUAUGGAGUCCUGGUGGAUGCUUGCCAUCAACCCCCAAUUUUUCUAUGGUUGACCUCGGAUCAGGUAGGGAUACCCGCUGAACUUAAGCAUAUCAAUAAGCGGAGGA
rnacentral:misc_RNA from 1 species